CAGGUGUAGCAAUACAUGCUGACGAGCGGCGGACGGGUGAGUAACGCUUGGGAAUCUGCCUGUUAGUGGGGGACAACCCGGGGAAACUCGGGCUAAUACCGCAUACGCACUACGGUGGAAAGCCGGGGACCGCAAGGCCUGGCGCUACAGAUGAGCCCAAGUCGGAUUAGCUAGUUGGUAGGGUAACGGCCUACCAAGGCGACGAUCCGUAACUGGUCUGAGAGGACGACCAGUCACACCGGAACUGAGACACGGUCCGGACUCCUACGGGAGGCAGCAGUGGGGAAUAUUGGACAAUGGGGGCAACCCUGAUCCAGCGACGCCGCGUGGGUGAAGAAGGCCUGCGGGUUGUAAAGCCCUUUCGGUUGGGAAGAAAAGCUGCGACCUAACACGUUGCGGCCUUGACGUAACCAACUAAAGAAGCACCGGCUAACUCUGUGCCAGCAGCCGCGGUAAUACAGAGGGUGCGAGCGUUAAUCGGAAUUACUGGGCGUAAAGCGCGCGUAGGCGGCUUUGCAAGCCGGAUGUGAAAUCCCCGGGCUUAACCUGGGAACUGCAUUCGGGACUGCAUUGCUAGAGUAUGGGAGAGGGAAGUGGAAUUUCAGGUGUAGCGGUGAAAUGCGUAGAUAUCUGAAGGAACAUCAGUGGCGAAAGCGACUUCCUGGACCAAUCCUGACGCUCAUGUGCGAAAGCGUGGGGAGCAAACAGGAUUAGAUACCCUGGUAGUCCACGCCAUAAACGAUGAGAACUGGAUGUCGGGAGGGUCUGCCUCUCGGUGUCGUAGCUAACGCGUUAG
rnacentral:rRNA from 1 species